rnacentral:rRNA from 1 species
UCCUACGGGAGGCAGCAGUAGGGAAUCUUCCGCAAUGGACGAAAGUCUGACGGAGCAACGCCGCGUGAGUGAUGAAGGCUUUCGGGUCGUAAAACUCUGUUGUUAGGGAAGAACAAGUGCUAGUUGAAUAAGCUGGCACCUUGACGGUACCUAACCAGAAAGCCACGGCUAACUACGUGCCAGCAGCCGCGGUAAUACGUAGGUGGCAAGCGUUAUCCGGAAUUAUUGGGCGUAAAGCGCGCGCAGGUGGUUUCUUAAGUCUGAUGUGAAAGCCCACGGCUCAACCGUGGAGGGUCAUUGGAAACUGGGAGACUUGAGUGCAGAAGAGGAAAGUGGAAUUCCAUGUGUAGCGGUGAAAUGCGUAGAGAUAUGGAGGAACACCAGUGGCGAAGGCGACUUUCUGGUCUGUAACUGACACUGAGGCGCGAAAGCGUGGGGAGCAAACAGGAUUAGAUACCCUGGUAGUCCACGCCGUAAACGAUGAGUGCUAAGUGUUAGAGGGUUUCCGCCCUUUAGUGCCGAAGUUAACGCAUUAAGUACCCCGCCUGGGGAGUACGACCGCAAGGUUGAAACUCAAAGGAAUUGACGGA